GACGAACGCUGGCGGCGUGCUUAACACAUGCAAGUCGAACGGAAAGGCCCUGUUUUUGUGGGGUCCGCGAGUGGCGAACGGGUGAGUGACACGUGAGUAACCUGCGCUUGACUUUGGGAUAACUUCUGGGAACAGGGGCGAAUACCGGAUAGAAGCUCCUUCUGCACGGUGGUUGUGGGAGAGUUUCGGCGGUUGGGGAUGUACUCGCGGUUUAUCAGCUUGUUGGUGAGGUAGUGGCUUACCAAGGCAUUGACGGGUAGCCGCCCUGAGAGGGUGACCGGCCACAUAGGGACUGGGGUGGGGCCCAGACUCCUACGUGAGGAAGCGGUGGGAAUCAUACCGCAAUGGGCGGAGGCAGGGUAGAGCAACGCCGGGUGCGAGAUGACGGCCUUUAGGUUAUAACCCGCGUUCGCCUGUGACGAAGAGCGAGUGACGGUAAUGAGUAAAGAAGCACCGGCUAACUACGUG
rnacentral:rRNA from 1 species